CCUACGGGUGGCAGCAGUGAGGAAUAUUGGUCAAUGGACGAGAGUCUGAACCAGCCAAGUAGCGUGAAGGAUGACUGCCCUAUGGGUUGUAAACUUCUUUUAUAUGGGAAUAAAAUGUUCCACGUGUGGGAUUUUGUAUGUACCAUAUGAAUAAGGAUCGGCUAACUCCGUGCCAGCAGCCGCGGUAAUACGGAGGAUCCGAGCGUUAUCCGGAUUUAUUGGGUUUAAAGGGAGCGUAGGUGGAUUGUUAAAUCAGUUGUGAAAGUUUGCGGCUCAACCGUAAAAUUGCAGUUGAAACUGGCAGUCUUGAGUACAGUAGAGGUGGGCGGAAGUCGUGGUGUAGCGGUGAAAUGCUUAGAUAUCACGAAGAACUCCGAUUGCGAAGGCAGUUCACUGGACUGCAACUGACACUGAGGCUCGAAAGUGUGGGUAUCAAACAGGAUUAGAUACCCCUGUAGUC
rnacentral:rRNA from 1 species